GAAAGCCUGAAUACAGAAGCACUUUCAGGGGUCUCUUGAAUCGGUCAUUGCUGAGUCUCAUUCUAAUCUGAUGAGUUACUGAUUUCCAAAGGAGCAGAAGCAUUAAAGGAGAAGUUUCUGAAUGCAUCCUGGCAAGCAGUAACACUUCAUCAGAAGUGCAGUGAAGGACAUGGACUAACCCAGCUCUUUAAGUCUGACUUCAUUAACAGGAAGCUGCAUUCAAAAAUUCCAGUUUUCCCUGAAACCACAGCAAAAAAGUUCAGAAGUAUCUGAAACGCAAGAAUGAAGAAACGAUUCCUUCGUCAAUUUAGAAAUGAACACUGAGGCAUAGUGCGGGGACCACCCACAGGAGAAUUUCAACUUGCUAAAAGACUAGGAAACCACAAAAUGACCUGGAGCAGGAAGACUAUAUGCACCGCUGUUCUAUCCCCUUCUGCAAAACUUCCGUUGUGGGAGCUUGUUUGGCUGCAAGGUAUAUUAGCCACAAAAAAAAUCAUGUCAGUGAAAAUUUGAAGAUCCUCAGUCCUCCCAUUUUAUGACAUAAACUUUAUGUCAGUUUAAAAGACUCGCUAUGGGUUCUCCUUGUUUUACUGAGGUACCAGUUCUUUUAACCUGCAUACUGUUGUUUAAUGAUAACAUUCUCUUCAAUAAAGAAAACAGUCAUACAAAAUAAGGAAAAUAAAUUAUUGAACAUUUUUAUGUACAAGCCAGCAGCUAAGUGUUAACAUUCUUUAUUUCAUGAUCAUUUUUUUUCUUUUAAAUGUUUAAUUUCAACUGGAUGAAAUAGUAGGAAAACCACAAGAUGUUCUGCAUCUGGAAGAUUAUGUGUGCACCCAAUAUAAACUCUUCUGUGUUUUGUAAAAGUAAAAUUGUCUUCUUGAAAUUACUUUCAUUGCUGUUAACGCCUUUGUAACAGUUUUUUAGGCUAUGUUGUCUCUGUCCGAAUGGUUUUGCUUAACUGGACUGGAGUGCACUUUCAUUUGUCCAGUCAAGAAAAGAUGUAUGCCUUUUAAAAACAAAUGCAGGAAAGUUAUUUUCAUUGUUGUAUUUCACCAUUGGGCCAGGGCCAUGGCUGAAAAGAUAACAACUAAAGCACUGAAGAGUAGGUGUUGUAGUCUGAAAGUAACUACCACUUUUAUCUUUUUCGGACCCAGAGUAGAAAGCACUGAGCUCUUUUUUAGAAUGGAAGUAUGCUUCUCUGCAUUUUUUUCUUUUUUAAUUUUUUGUGCCAGUUGUGUUCACACUAAGAAGCAUAAAUCACUGGUGUAAAAUUUUAUUUGUUGUGUCAUUUUUCAUUUAGACUUGUAACUAUUUUGUAUAAAACAC